UAUUUCAUUGGCUGAAAAGCACUUUGAGGUGUCCGGUGGUCAUGAAAAGUGCCACAAAAAUGCCAGUCUCAUUUUCUUUUUUAAUGCUGCCUAACACCUGCUCUCAAUUAUCAGCACCUCAGCCACAUUGGGCACAUCAUCUACCCAUGUUACAACACCAGACAUGCUGCUUGACCUGCUGAGUAUUUCCAGCAUUUUCUGUUUUUAUUUCGGGUUUCCAGCAUCUGCAGUAUUUUGCUUAUACAUCAAGAUACAUCAUCUGAACCUCAAGGAGUCUCAUCAAAGGAUGGCAAGACACUUAAACAGCAAGAUAAGGUCAUCACCCAAACCUUGAGGUCAUGAUUGCAGUAUUGAAGAUUAUUGAAGCUGCCUGCAGAAAUUCAUCACCAUCCUCUGCCUGCUGCAUGAUGACAUGCAAGCUGUGAUCCUUACCAAUGGAUCUGCCAUAGAGUGCAAACUGGGGUCAAACAAGGCUGUGUCAAUGCGCCAACAUUCUUUUCUCUGUUCCUCAAUGCAAUAAUCCGUCCCAUCUCCAUGAAGCUCCCCGCCAGAGUGGAGCUACCCUACAGGAUGAGUGGGAAACUACUCAACUUACGAUGCCUCAAAUCCAGAAUCAAGAUCACCCCAACCUCUCUCAUCGAACUAUACUACGUUGAUGAUGUGUGCGUAUGCACACACUCAGAGGUUGAGCUCCAAACUAUCAUCAUGCAUUCAUGGAGGCGUAUGAAAGAAUGGGCUUUAGGUUAAACAACCAGAAGACAAAGGUCUUCUACCAGCCUGCUUCCGCUGCGCCACACAACUCCCCCACCAAACUAUCGAGAUCCAUGGCAAACCAUUGGCAAUGUUGAUCAUUUCUCAUACCUUAGGAGCCUCUUCUCUGCGAGGGCAGACAUCGACAAUGAAACUCAACACUGCCUCUAGUGUGCCAGCGCAGCCUUUGGCUGUCUGAGGAAAAGGGUAUUUGAUGGCAAAGACCUCAAACCCAGCACCCUGCUCAUGGUCUAACAGGUCUGAAGUGCUACCUGCCCUCCUGUAUGUGUCAGAGAUAAUGAUAACAUAAAGCAGACACCUUAAAUCCCUGCAGAAAUAUUGCCAGCGGUGCCUGUGCAAAAUCCUGCAAAUUCAAUGGCAGGAUAAGUGCUCCAAUAUCAGUGUCCUUUCUCAGACCAACAUCCCCAGCUUCGAGGCACUAGUUAAUGAUUAAUCAGCUAUGUUGGAUGGGCCACAUCAUCUGCUUGUCUGACACAAGACUCCCAAAACAAGUUCUCUACUCCGAGCUUCAUCACAGCAAAUGGUUACCAGAAAGGCAGAGGAAACUUUUCAGGAACAGCCUCAAAGCAUCCUCGAAAAAAUGCAACAUCCCCACUGAUUUGUGGGGAUCUCUUGCUUGAGACCGCCCAAACUGGAGAAGAAGCAACCGCAAAGGUGCCAACCAUUUCAAACGUCCCCAAAAGGCUCAUGUGGAGACCAAGCGCAAACAGUGGGAGAAGCAUACCAAAAUCCAAGCAUCCCACCUGCCUGCCUCAUCAAACACUACCUGUCCCACCGGUGUGCAGAUCCAGCACUGGACCUUUUAGUCACCUCAGGAUCCACAACCCCAAAGUGGAAGAAACUCAUCCACAGUCUGGAGAAACUGCCUAAGAAGAAGUGUUAGAAAUCUUUUGAAAAACCAAGAACUGAAUGGCUGGAUAAAAUUUGUGUGGAGGACAUCAACUGUGCCAUAAUAAUAUAUUCAGUGUUGAACACAAAUGAUUAAAUUACUUGCUAAUUCUCAGGUGAUGUAAAGUUCCAACCAGUUAAUGGAUUAUAUUUGAUUAAAUGGCACAACCUUGUAUCAGACAAAUUUAGGAACCACAGGAUCCCACUAAUCAAUUCUAGGGUGAGAAAACAUGCAACAGCCUUGGCUGACACACGCAAUAUGACAUUGACAAUAAAUUACUAGGGGUUGUUUACUACGUACAACUUAUGAAAUAGCGAC